rnacentral:rRNA from 1 species
UACGUAGGGUGCAAGCGUUGUCCGGAAUUAUUGGGCGUAAAGAGCGUGUAGGCGGCCCGAUUAGUCCGCUGUGAAAGUCAAGGGCUCAACCCUGGAAUGCCGGUGGAUACUGUCGGGCUAGAGUCCGGGAAGGGGCGAGUGGAAUUCCUGGUGUAGCGGUGGAAUGCGCAGAUAUCAGGAGGAACACCAAUAGCGAAGGCAGCUCGCUGGGACGGUACUGACGCUAAGGCGCGAAAGCGUGGGAGCGAACGAGG